CAUAAGGACUGCUAUGUUUUCAGCUGCAGGGUUAAAACUAAGGGGACCUGGCACCCACACCACUUCAUUGAGCUGAAUUGGUCUGGGUGCCUAUAUUUAAACAGAAAUAUACCAAAAAGUUCUAUGUAAAAAUGCAUUGUCCAUGGCAGCAAGAAACAAUUUUCAAAACUUAUUAACAAUUCACAAUUGUAGCACGUAAAAAAGUUGGCAAAACAUUUUUACGGCACAUUUGGGAAUGUCUUCUUGUAUAGGACACUUUGAAAUAGCACGGAAAAUCUUAUAUAGAUGGUAUAUGGUACCUACUCGUAUUCAUGCAAUGUAUUCUGAUGCACAAGAUAUAUGCUGGAGAUGCCACUCUCAUAAAGGAACUAUGCUCCAUAUUUGGUGGACAUGUGAAAGAGUUAAUAGCUUAUGGCGAGAGGUUGAAAUAAUGAUCCAAGAGGUGACAUCUUAUAAGCCAUACCACACACCGAAAAUGCUACUUCUCAAAGCUUUUCCGGACCAUAUACCUAAAGUUACGCGUAAAUUAAUCUUUUUAUUAUUAUCUAUAGUCUCAAUCUUUAUAGCGAGAAAUUGGAAGACUACAAGCUUACCUACAAUAGAUGAAAUCAAAACAUUAAUGUCUCUGACUAUAGAUUAUGAGCUUAUCAUGUGGGAUCAGACUAAAAUUGGGAAGUUAAGUCUAAA